rnacentral:rRNA from 1 species
CAGCCGCCGCGGUAACACGAAGGGGGCUAGCGUUGUUCGGAUUUACUGGGCGUAAAGGGCGCGUAGGCGGAUUUGUAAGUCAGGGGUGAAAUCCCGAGGCUCAACCUCGGAACUGCCUUUGAUACUGUGGAUCUUGAGUCCGGGAGAGGUGAGUGGAACUGCGAGUGUAGAGGUGAAAUUCGUAGAUAUUCGCAAGAACACCAGCGGCGAAGGCGGCUCACUGGCCCGGAACUGACGCUGAGGCGCGAAAGCGUGGGGAGCAAACAGGAUUAGAUACCCCCGUAGUCCCUGUCUCUUAUAC